AAAAAUAAAUCUUCCUCUCUUCCCUUGUCGCAGUUGGCUGCAUUCUACAUUCUGGUGCCGAACUCCAAGGAGCCCAAGAGUUCUGAUCCUGGCCUUCCAGAGCAUUGGGAAGUCAUUGUCAAGGACUUCGCAGACUCUUCAGUCUGUCAAUAUGCUCCAAGGCUCUUCAAGGGCGAGACUGAAGACAGAGAUUUUCCCAAGCACGCUUGACCACAGGUCUGUUUCAUUG
rnacentral:lncRNA from 13 species